rnacentral:rRNA from 1 species
UACGUAGGUGGCAAGCGUUGUCCGGAUUUACUGGGCGUAAAGCGUAUGCAGGCGGACCUUUAAGUAGGCAGUGAAAGGUUGGAGCUCAACUCUAACACGGCUAUCUAUACUGGGGGUCUUGAGUGGCGGAGAGGAAGAGGGAACGACACGUGUAGCGGUGAAAUGCGUUGAGAUGUGUCGGAACACCAAUGGCGAAAAGCACUCUUCUGGACGCAGGCUUCGGCCAUAAAACUGACGCUGAGAUACGAAAGCCAAGGGAGCAAACAGG